rnacentral:rRNA from 1 species
AGGUGGUCAGGUAGAGAAUACCAAGGCGCUUGAGAGAACUCGGGUGAAGGAACUAGGCAAAAUGGUGCCGUAACUUCGGGAGAAGGCACGCUGGUGUGUAGGUGAAGUCCCUGCGGAUGGAGCUGAGACCAGUCGAAGAUACCAGCUGGCUGCAACUGUUUAUUAAAAACACAGCACUGUGCAAACACGAAAGUGGACGUAUACGGUGUGACGCCUGCCCGGUGCCGGAAGGUUAAUUGAUGGGGUUAUCCGUAAGGAGAAGCUCUUGAUCGAAGCCCCGGUAAACGGCGGCCGUAACUAUAACGGUCCUAAGGUAGCGAAAUUCCUUGUCGGGUAAGUUCCGACCUGCACGAAUGGCGUAAUGAUGGCCAGGCUGUCUCCACCCGAGACUCAGUGAAAUUGAACUCGCUGUGAAGAUGCAGUGUACCCGCGGCAAGACGGAAAGACCCCGUGAACCUUUACUAUAGCUUGACACUGAACAUUGAGCCUUGAUGUGUAGGAUAGGUGGGAGGCUUUGAAGCGUGGACGCCAGUCUGCGUGGAGCCAACCUUGAAAUACCACCCUUUAAUGUUUGAUGUUCUAACGUUGGCCCCUGACCGGGGUUGCGGACAGUGUCUGGUGGGUAGUUUGACUGGGGCGGUCUCCUCCCAAAGCGUAACGGAGGAGCACGAAGGUUAGCUAAUCCUGGUCGGACAUCAGGAGGUUAGUGCAAUGGCAUAAGCUAGCUUGACUGCGAGCGUGACGGCGCGAGCAGGUGCGAAAGCAGGUCAUAGUGAUCCGGUGGUUCUGAAUGGAAGGGCCAUCGCUCAACGGAUAAAAGGUACUCCGGGGAUAACAGGCUGAUACCGCCCAAGAGUUCAUAUCGACGGCGGUGUUUGGCACCUCGAUGUCGGCUCAUCACAUCCUGGGGCUGAAGUAGGUCCCAAGGGUAUGGCUGUUCGCCAUUUAAAGUGGUACGCGAGCUGGGUUUAGAACGUCGUGAGACAGUUCGGUCCCUAUCUGCCGUGGGCGCUGGAGAAUUGAGGGGGGCUGCUCCUAGUACGAGAGGACCGGAGUGGACGCAUCACUGGUGUUCGGGUUGUCAUGCCAAUGGCACUGCCCGGUAGCUAAAUGCGGAAGAGAUAAGUGCUGAAAGCAUCUAAGCACGAAACUUGCCCCGAGAUGAGUUCUCCCUGAGACUUUAAGUCUCCUGAAGGAACGUUGAAGACGACGACGUUGAUAGGCCGGGUGUGUAAGCGCAGCGAUGCGUUGAGCUAACCGGUACUAAUGAACCGUGAGGCUUAACCUU